GGCCCCGUGGCGCAAUUGAAUAGCGCAUCAGAUUUCGGCUCUGAGGGUUGGGGGUUUGAAUCCCUCCGGGGUCAC
rnacentral:tRNA from 1 species